UAGGGAAUCUUCGGCAAUGGACGAAAGUCUGACCGAGCAACGCCGCGUGAGUGAAGAAGGUUUUCGGAUCGUAAAACUCUGUUGUUAGAGAAGAACAAGGACGUUAGUAACUGAACGUCCCCUGACGGUAUCUAACCAGAAAGCCACGGCUAACUACGUGCCAGCAGCCGCGGUAAUACGUAGGUGGCAAGCGUUGUCCGGAUUUAUUGGGCGUAAAGCGAGCGCAGGCGGUUUCUUAAGUCUGAUGUGAAAGCCCCCGGCUCAACCGGGGAGGGUCAUUGGGAGCUGAGAGACUUGAGUGCAGAAGGGGAGAGUGGAAUUCCAUGUGUAGCGGUGAAAUGCGUAAAAAUAUGGAGGAACACCGGUGGCGAGGGCGGCUCUCUGGUCAGUAACUGACGCUGAGGCUCGAAAGCGUGGGGAGCAAACAGG
rnacentral:rRNA from 1 species